rnacentral:rRNA from 1 species
UACGUAGGGGCCAAGCGUUGUCCGGAUUUAUUGGGCGUAAAGAGCUCGUAGGCGGUUUGGAUAGUCGGGUGUGAAAACUCCGAGCUCAACUCGGAGACGCCACCCGAUACUGCCAUGACUAGAGUCCGGUAGGGGAGCAGGGAAGUUCCUGGUGUAGCGGUGAAAUGCGCAGAUAUCAGGAGGAACACCGGUGGCGAAGGCGCUGCUCUGGGCCGGUAUUGACGCUGAGACGCGAAAGCGUGGGGAGGCAAACAGG